CGGACGGGUGAGUAACACGUGGAUAACCUACCUAUAAGACUGGGAUAACUUCGGGAAACCGGAGCUAAUACCGGAUAAUAUAUUGAACCGCAUGGUUCAAUAGUGAAAGACGGUUUUGCUGUCACUUAUAGAUGGAUCCGCGCCGCAUUAGCUAGUUGGUAAGGUAACGGCUUACCAAGGCAACGAUGCGUAGCCGGCCUGAGAGGGUGAUCGGCCACACUGGAACUGAGACACGGUCCAG
rnacentral:rRNA from 1 species